GUGAGGAAUAUUGGUCAAUGGGCGAGAGCCUGAACCAGCCAAGUCGCGUGAAGGAAGAAGGAUCUAUGGUUCGAAAACUUCUUUUGCAGGGGAAUAAAGUGCAGGACGUGUCCUGUUUUGUAUGUACCCUGAGAAUAAGGAUCGGCUAACUCCGUGCCAGCAGCCGCGGUAAUACGGAGGAUCCGAGCGUUAUCCGGAUUUAUUGGGUUUAAAGGGUGCGUAGGUGGUUUGAUAAGUCAGCGGUGAAAGUUUGCAGCUUAACUGUAAAAAUGCCGUUGAAACUGUCGGACUUGAGUGUAAAUGAGGUAGGCGGAAUGCGUGGUGUAGCGGUGAAAUGCAUAGAUAUCACGCAGAACUCCGAUUGCGAAGGCAGCUUACUAAGCUACAACUGACACUGAAGCACGAAAGCGUGGGGAGCAAACAGGAUUAGAAACCCCUGUAGUCC
rnacentral:rRNA from 1 species